GCACUAAUUAGUCUGGUGUGUGCCCCUUGCCCCAGCGCCCAUCCCCGCAGUUCUCCCUCAGCCGGGGGUCACCGUGGAAGCAGAGCCGCAGGGAUGAAUUUGGCAGGUGCCCACGUGUUUUUCUCCUUCCCGUGCCCUGUUAGGGAAAGGUAAUCCCGAGCUGACAGGAGGGAGACUGCGAGCUGCUGACGGGAAUUCCCAGCUGAGGGGUUUUAAGAGCGGUGGGAGCUUUGGCGUAUGGAUUAGGUUGCUUAUAUAUACUAUAGUGUGAAGGAAACAGGCGGUUUUGCUAAUUCCCUUGCACUUUGGUUUAAUAAAGUAGGAUUUGUCUGGUGGGAAAGUGUAACAGUGGGAUUUAAGCUGUGUGAGUCUCAUGACUGGUGCUCGCCUGGCUGGGUGGGAAGCAGGGAAGCAUCGGUCACAUUCUGUCUCUGCUCUGUUCUUGUGUUUUUAGACAUGAUUUGAAUGCCCACAGCUUCGGAUGAGCUUUAUUUGGAUUAGGUUUAUUUAAAAAAUCCAUAUGCAGAGACUUGCACUGAAUUCUGUAGCCCAUUUUUUCAGAACUGCAGUGCUCUAUGUCUGAGGAGAACCAGGACCACUUGGUUUGUCAGUGCCUUGUGACAAAGACUCACAAAAACUGAGAGGAUAAAGAGGAGGGGGCCAGUGCACAGAGGAAGAGGGGACAGGUUAAUAUCUGGUACAGCCUCUGCAGGGAAACGAGAUCCUUCUGCUUCUAGUUUUAAUGAGAAAGGCCCCAAUGGAAAUAUAAAAUCUGGAUCUGCAUCAAAUCCUCAAAGUUCAGGCAGUUUAGAACAAGGAGUUCGGUCCAUUCCAUCACACAUCAGAGCUGUCUGCAAAAUUCACAGCCCAACACUUUUUUCCAGCCUUGGAUUCUGCCAAAGAUGUGUGCUUGGAUGUGAGGUAUUUUUCUUCUUUUUCAUCCCUUUUGCUAAUUUAAUUCCCAGAUCUAAAUCAAAUUUUUCCAUACUGGACUUCCACAAGCUGGGAUGCCUUGUUUGCAGUUGGGAAGCUUUGCUGUGCCCUCUGUGGAGUGCUGAGGUGUCAGAGGGGUCACCUGCCUGCAGUAAGUGACCGAGCAAAGGGGAGGCCUCGGGGUCAGGCAUGGGGCUGGUAUAUUGCCAGAGUCAAAGUUUUGGGAUGCGCUAGUGAGCAAAUCAUUACAGUGUUCCUGCCUUUCUUUCUCUCAUUAUUAAGAGGAUAAAACCCGACCAAUUAUUGGAAUAUGCACAAAUAUGCCACUGAUGAGGGCCCCGAGCAACCAGGCAGAUUUUCCGAGCAGCCUUGAAGCAGUAAGACACAGCAGCCACAUGCUGGGCUCUCCCUUAUUUUUAUUCUUUUCUGUUUUCUUGGUUGUAGAAUAAGAGCUAAUCAAAGUGAUGCACUCCAGCAGGCUUUUGUGUAUGGCAUUACAGCAAAAUCCUAAAUUCUCUUUCCUGCUCAUGCAUACAAAGCAGGAAGAACUAGGAUGGCUGCAGACUAUUUUCAGAUGAUUUAGCCAAGGAGAAAAUAACUGGGUGGCUGGAAGAAGGAGCUUUUGAUAGGAAAUAGCCUUGAAGUGCAGCUCUCUGACAUGACAGCGUGCGAGAUGCCCAGCUCCCUGAGACAGUCCUGCUCUGUCAAAUGGAACAUGACUUCCAGAGGAGAUGACAAAGGACAAUACAGACACCAGAGCACCCAAAAUCCAAUGCAAGAGAGGCUGCAGAGCGGGCUAGGUGCUCCCUUCUGCUCCUGAGCAAGAAGUGGUUUCAGCAUCGACAUACAUGAAGUUCCCCCUGCUCGGUUCAGGACUCCUACCAAGUGCUGAGGCAACAAGUUGAGUAGAUCAGUGCAGCUCAACUGACUGGGUUCAUGGGAGGCUGUUUGUACCUGUAGAUGUGUUGCUUCUUCCUCCACUAAAGACAAAAGCAUCACCUGGGACUUGCCCCUCACACCUGGAGCAAGUUGGAUGCUCCCUCCCCACAAGGCAGGAGCGUGGGCAUCAGUGAUAUCUGAGCGAAAACUCCCAUCUUCCUGUGCUUCGCUUCACGGCACCUGGUCUGCAGCCCUCUCUCCCCCUCAUUUCAAAGGGCCACCGAGUUCUCAGGGUUCUCUCCCCCCUUGUCCGUGACAACACUGGGGACAAAGCCCCAAAGAUGGUCCCACUGGGCAGGCUGGGGCUGACGUGUUCUUCGUGUUCGUUUGUGUCUCGUGAACAGCUCAGCACUGAUCAAAUCCCCUGCUUUGGAUUUAUUCUGUGCAAUUCAAAGCAAGAUUUGCUGGACCCCGCGGUGCCCAUGUGCCCGGGGAGGGCUGGGGUGUGGGUGCGGGCACUGCCAGGUCAGGGGAGGUCCUGGGUGAGGAUGAAGGUGAAGGCAUCUUCGAAGGCUUUGGGCAAGGAGGACGGUUUCGGUGAGGCUGCAUCCCCCUCUGCUGGAAAGUCCAAGCAAAGGCAGCAGAGCACCCGGUGGCCGCGGAGAAAAAGCGGGAAUAAAUGUGCAAAGAACACAAGUGAGGCCCAGGGGUCCCCGGGACCCAGAAGGGACAUCGCGGCAGCCAGCCUGGGCUGUACUGGGGGUUCACCCGCUGCUGGCCGUGCUGAGAGGGCUCUUGCUGGGGACAGCCAGACCCCGUGCAGAAAUUGGGACCACGUUGCAUUUGUGCCAGGCACAACCCCACUCCCCAUGGGCGAGUGGGGCAGGGACAGCACCUGACAGUGUGGUCAGGCAGGUCCUGAGGAUGUGGCAGGGUCUUACAGCUGGCAGAGAAUCGCAACUGUUACUAAACAGAAUUGCACAGACAAAGGCAGUGCUUUGACACUGGGUUCAGAGAGGCUUUGUAGCCCAGGUGGUGCCCAGGGGCCACAGCUGAUGGGCAUGAGGUGCAAAACACACUGGAGGUACUGAAAUACUUAUGGCAACCAUGGGCAGUGGCAUUUGCCAGGAAGGGGCUGCAGUGCUGUCUGGUUCUUGCCAAGCAGCUGGUAGGGAGCUCUACUUCAAAUCAGAGGCUGGAGUAAAUGUCUCUCCUCGCCCCUCACCUGCUCCCUGGGUGGGUGGCUCAUGGUUCAGCCUAACCAAGAAUUCCUGAGAAGUCCCUGCUCUGCAUUCCCCUGCGGUGCUGCUUCCUCUGGUCCUACAGAUGCCUGCGCACAGCCCAGGGCUCUGUGCUCAUCUUUCAGAGCCUCACUUGGAGGCUGUUUGUGCUUAGACUGGAAGAAUGGGUUUGUUUCCUUUUGGAUUUAAGAUCUAAAUUACAGCAAGGGUGAAAUGCGGUGACUGGGCUGGCGAAGGCCCCGACUGUGCAAUAAAUCCGCAAGCAUGGGCCUGGCUUUUGCGCAGGGGGCUCUGCAAGUGCCAAGGUCGCUGCUAAUAAAUCUGACUGGAGGACCAGGAGGAAAUUUUUUUAAACUUACUGCAAACAGCAGGCUCCUUUUUAACCAUCUUUUUUUUUCCCUGCUCCCUUCUGCUGAUUCAUGCUCCUGCUGCUUCGCCACUGGGAGACGCCAGCAUUCCUGAAGGUCAUCACUUGCAUGCAGCAGCUCACGCUGCGGAGUGUCUGCCAGCAUCUAGGAAAUCGAAAUGCUAAAGUGCCUGCGAUCAUUUAUAUUUUCCCUGGCAGUGACAGACAAUCCACAGCUUGCCAACUGAGGAGCUGCCACGUUUCCACGCUGCUACACUGCUCGAAGGAGAGCAAUGAAGAAGACACAGUGAAAUCCUUCCUUUGCUUCUUCAGGUUAUUUAACAAUUUUCUUCUGGCAGCGAUGGAGAAGGAGAAGCCUUUGCAAGUGUCCCAGAAACAGCAUGGAACCUCGGGAGGGGUGUGCACACUGUGCUUGGCUUCCCCAAAUUCAUCAGCUGCAGGUGCUGCUGCUCUCCCUCCAUCCUGGAGUAGAAAGGUGUCUGCCAGCUGCAUACAUAAUAUCUUUAAAAUUUAUAC